rnacentral:rRNA from 1 species
GGACUACUGGGGUAUCUAAUCCUGUUUGCUCCCCACGCUAUCGCGCCUGAGCGUCGGUAACGGGCCAGUGAGCCGCCUUCGCCACUGGUGUUCUUCCGAAUAUCUACGAAUUUCACCUCUACACUCGGAAUUCCACUCACCUCUCCCGUACCCAAGUCCUCUAGUCUCAAAGGCCAUUCCAGGGUUGAGCCCUGGGCUUUCACCCCUGACUUGAAGGACCGCCUGCGCGCGCUUUACGCCCAGUAAUUCCGAACAACGCUAGCCCCCUUCGUAUUACCGCGGCUGCUGGCAC